GUUGUAUAGUCAAGUAAUUAAGUGCAUGUGGUGGAUGCCUUGGCAGUCAGAGGCGAUGAAAGACGUGAUAGCCUGCGAAAAGCUCCGGGGAGGCGGCAAAUAUCCUUUGAUCCGGAGAUGUCUGAAUGGGGGAACCCACCUACUUUAAGGUAGGUAUUGCAACAUGAAUACAUAGUGUUGCAAGGCGAACGAGGGGAAGUGAAACAUCUCAGUACCCUUAGGAAAAGAAAUCAAUUGAGAUUCCCUCAGUAGCGGCGAGCGAACGGGGAUCAGCCCAUUAAGUUAUGUGUGUUUUAGUGGAACGCUCUGGGAAGUGCGAACGUAGAGGGUGAUAUUCCCGUACACGAAAGGGCACACAUAAUGAUGACGAGUAGGGCGAGGCACGUGAAACCUUGUCUGAAUAUGGGGGGACCAUCCUCCAAGGCUAAAUACUCCUGACUGACCGAUAGUGAACCAGUACCGUGAGGGAAAGGCGAAAAGAACCCCUGUGAGGGGAGUGAAAUAGAUCCUGAAACCGCAUGCAUACAAGCAGUGGGAGCACCUUCGUGGUGUGACUGCGUACCUUUUGUAUAAUGGGUCAGCGACUUAUAUUCAGUAGCGNAGGUUAACCGUAUAGGGGAGCCGUAGAGAAAUCGAGUCUUAAUAGGGCGUUUAGUUGCUGGGUAUAGACCCGAAACCAGGCGAUCUAUCCAUGAGCAGGUUGAAGGUUGGGUAACACUAACUGGAGGACCGAACCCACUGUCGUUGAAAAGCCAGGGGAUGACUUGUGGAUAGGGGUGAAAGGCUAAUCAAGCCUGGUGAUAGCUGGUUCUCCCCGAAAGCUAUUUAGGUAGCGCCUCGGACGAAUACCAUAGGGGGUAGAGCACUGUUUCGGCUAGGGGGUCAUCCCGACUUACCAAACCGAUGCAAACUCCGAAUACCUAUGAGUACUAUCCGGGAGACAGACUGCGGGUGCUAACGUCCGUAGUCAAGAGGAAAACAAUCCAGACCGCCAGCUAAGGCCCCAAAAUCAUAGUUAAGUGGGAAACGAUGUGGGAAGGCAUAGACAGCUAGGAGGUUGGCUUANNGAAGCAGCCACCCUUUAAAGAAAGCGUAAUAGCUCACUAGUCGAGUCGGCCUGCGCGGAAGAUGUAACGGGGCUAAAACUAUGUGCCGAAGCUGCGGAUUUGACAUUAGUCAAGUGGUAGGGGAGCGUUCUGUAAGCCGAUGAAGGUGUAUUGAGAAGUNNNNNNNNNNNNNNNNNNNNNNNNNNNNNNNNNNNNNNNNNNNNNAUGCUGGAGGUAUCAGAAGUGCGAAUGCUGACGUGAGUAACGACAAAACGGGUGAAAAACCCGUUCGCCGAAAGACCAAGGGUUCCAGUCCAACGUUAAUCGGGGCUGGGUGAGUCGACCCCUAAGGCGAGGCCGAAAGGCGUAGUCGAUGGGAAAAUGGUUAAUAUUCCAUUACUUCUGUGUAAUGCGAUGAGAGGACGGAGAAGGCUAAAUCAGCCUGGCGUUGGUUGUCCAGGUGAAAGGAUGUAGGCAUGUAUCUUAGGCAAAUCCGGGGUACUCUAUGCUGAGAUCUGAUAGCAAGCUGUACUUGUACAGCGAAGUGGUUGAUGCCAUGCUUCCAGGAAAAGUCUCUAAGCUUCAGUUACACAGGAAUCGUACCCGAAACCGACACAGGUGGUCAGGUCGAGUAGACCAAGGCGCUUGAGAGAACUCUGCUGAAGGAACUAGGCAAAAUGGUACCGUAACUUCGGGAGAAGGUACGCUGUUGUUGGUGAUGGAACUCGCUUCCUGAGCUGACGACAGCCGCAGAAACCAGGCCGCUGCAACUGUUUAUUAAAAACAUAGCACUCUGCAAACACGAAAGUGGACGUAUAGGGUGUGAUGCCUGCCCGGUGCUGGAAGGUUAAUUGAUGGGGUUAGCGUAAGCGAAGCUCUUGAUCGAAGCCCCAGUAAACGGCGGCCGUAACUAUAACGGUCCUAAGGUAGCGAAAUUCCUUGUCGGGUAAGUUCCGACCUGCACGAAUGGCAUAAUGAUGGCGGCGCUGUCUCCAGCAGAGGCUCAGUGAAAUCGAAAUCGCUGUGAAGAUGCAGUGUACCCGCGGCUAGACGGAAAGACCCCGUGAACCUUUACUGCAGCUUGACACUGAACUUUGACCUUACUUGUGUAGGAUAGGUGGGAGGCUUUGAAGCUGGAACGCUAGUUCCAGUGGAGCCGUCCUUGAAAUACCACCCUGGUAAUGUUGAGGUUCUAACUCUGUCCCGUGAUCCGGGACGAGGACCGUGUCUGGUGGGUAGUUUGACUGGGGCGGUCUCCUCCUAAAGAGUAACGGAGGAGUACGAAGGUGCGCUCAGCGUGGUCGGAAAUCACGCGUAGAGUAUAAAGGCAAAAGCGCGCUUAACUGCGAGACCCACAAGUCGAGCAGGUACGAAAGUAGGUCUUAGUGAUCCGGUGGUUCUGUAUGGAAGGGCCAUCGCUCAACGGAUAAAAGGUACUCUGGGGAUAACAGGCUGAUACCGCCCAAGAGUUCAUAUCGACGGCGGUGUUUGGCACCUCGAUGUCGGCUCAUCUCAUCCUGGGGCUGAAGCAGGUCCCAAGGGUAUGGCUGUUCGCCAUUUAAAGAGGUACGCGAGCUGGGUUUAGAACGUCGUGAGACAGUUCGGUCCCUAUCUACCGUGGGCGCUGGAAAUUUGAGAGGAUCUGCUCCUAGUACGAGAGGACCAGAGUGGACGAACCUCUGGUGUACCGGUUGUGACGCCAGUCGCAUCGCCGGGUAGCUAUGUUCGGAAGGGAUAACCGCUGAAAGCAUCUAAGCGGGAAGCCUACCUCAAGAUAAGAUUUCCCUAGGACUUUAUGUCCUCUAAAGAGCCGUUCGAGACUAGGACGUUGAUAGGUUGGAUGUGGAAGCAUAGUGAUAUGUGAAGCUGACCAAUACUAAUUGCUCGUGAGGCUUGACUAUACAACACCCAAGCAGUUG
rnacentral:rRNA from 1 species